CCAGACUCCUACGGGAGGCAGCAGUGAGGAAUAUUGGUCAAUGGGCGGAAGCCUGAACCAGCCAAGUCGCGUGAGGGAUGACGGCCCUAUGGGUUGUAAACCUCUUUUGCCGGGGAGCAAAGUGCCGCACGUGUGCGGUUUGGAGAGUACCCGGAGAAAAAGCAUCGGCUAACUCCGUGCCAGCAGCCGCGGUAAUACGGAGGAUGCGAGCGUUAUCCGGAUUUAUUGGGUUUAAAGGGUGCGUAGGCGGGCUGUUAAGUCAGCGGUAAAAGCCCGGGGCUCACCCCCGGCGAGCCGUUGAAACUGGCUGUCUUGAGAUGUCGAGAGGUAUGCGGAAUGCGCAGUGUAGCGGUGAAAUGCUUAGAUAUCACGCAGAACUCCGAUUGCGAAGGCAGCAUACCGGCGCCCUACUGACGCUGAGGCACGAAAGCGUGGGUAUCGAACAGGAUUAGAUACCCCCGUACG
rnacentral:rRNA from 1 species